CUCACAACCCCAAAUUGUCCAGCUGCCUUUUUGAGCUUAGUGGCAGCAUCAAAUGGUGGAAAUGACUUAGGUGGUUUGUUAUCCAAAUCCCAGAAAAUUCCAACACUAGCUCUAAUUGGUGAGUCUAAAGAACCAAAACCCAGAUGGGAUUUGGACUCAAAGUGACAAAAUCUUUUAAAGAAACGAAUAGCAUGUAUAAAGGAG
rnacentral:misc_RNA from 1 species